UUUUGUAGGCCGAUUAAACCUAAAACAUAGGUAUGUCAAUUUGCAUUCGACGGCAUUAAAAAUGUGGAUACAAGUUGAAUACAAAUCAGGACCACCGGAGUAGCGUAGUCUUCCUCCAUUGUCGCAAAUUGAGUAACCCAACGAAAAGAACUACUCAGUUCCAUUACUAAAAAGAGGCCAAGGCAUAAGGAAAAAUGGUUCAGCAUGCAUGUUCACCGGCUGCUUCCAUCGUUAAUUCCUCCUCCCUUUUUGUCUCUUUCUUGCUGCUUAGUUUUAUCUGCACGUAAGUCUUUACUUACAUGGACAUUCCAUCGCCACACAUGCUUCUUUGUGGUUUGUGAACCUUUGAGUCUUUCUAGCUACAUUUUGGAUAGAAGGAAUAUAAUAGAGAAGGGAAAAGAAUUGUAAUACUCAAGUCCCA
rnacentral:lncRNA from 1 species